GUCGCCGUGACGUGUCGGGAAUUUCAAAUCGUUGAUAUAUGAAUAAACAAGACAACUGUCAUAAAAUGCAUAGGAUAAGAAUUCCAAUGAAAGAUGUUCUUUAGUGUACUUCGUUGUGUCCCGCUGUAUAAAAUCGUCGCUUCGACAUCGCUGGUCUUAGGCGCCAAAUCAACCGUUGUCGCAUAACGGAGAAAGAACUCACGGAUGUUACAUACUUUUAAUAUACAAAUACAAAUACACAAGUGUACAAGUGAAAUACCAAAUU